rnacentral:rRNA from 1 species
UAAAGUGGUACGCGAGCUGGGUUUAGAACGUCGUGAGACAGUUCGGUCCCUAUCUGCCGUGGGCGUUUGAGAAUUGAGAGGGGCUGCUCCUAGUACGAGAGGACCGGAGUGGACGAACCUCUGGUGUUCCGGUUGUGUCGCCAGACGCAUUGCCGGGUAGCUACGUUCGGAACUGAUAACCGCUGAAAGCAUCUAAGCGGGAAGCAGGCCUUAAGAUGAGUUCUCACUUUAACUUAGAGUUAACUGAAGGGCCGUUGGAGACUACAACGUUGAUAGGCUGGGUGUGGAAGUUCAGUAAUGAAUGAAGCUAACCAGUACUAAUUGCCCGUGAGGCUUGACCAUAUAACACCCAA